CAGUCGCCACGGUAAUACGGAGGGUGCAAGCGUUAUCCGGAUUCACUGGGUUUAAAGGGUGCGUAGGCGGAUCUGUAAGUCAGUGGUGAGAUCUCCAGGCUUAACCUGGAAACUGCCGUUGAUACUAUAGGUCUUGAAUUUUGUGGAGGUUAGCGGAAUAUGUCAUGUAGCGGUGAAAUGCAUAGAUAUGACAUAGAACACCAAUUGCGAAGGCAGCUGGCUACACAACUAUUGACGCUGAGGCACGAAAGCGUGGGGAUCAAACAGGAUUAGAUACCCGUGUAGUCCCUGUCUCUUAUAC
rnacentral:rRNA from 1 species